ensembl:lncRNA
GUCAAACAGGGAAAUGGUUCCAAUUGUUUUUCCCACAGGGGAUUUUAGAAACACGUGUAGGUUUACCCUGCUGUGCAAAUCUCUCAAGGACAAUGUGACUUAUCAAUAUAUUCGCCUGUAUUUACCCCCACCAAAAACGAACCGCAAAUUAGCUGCUAAUGUGGCUAUCAUAAAGAACUGUAAAUGCCAUAAUGAUCUGGACGAGACUGCCGAAUCGAGGGAAAGCUGCAGUUCAUCUUUGAGGACAUUCCCACCACGGAGUGACUGACCAGUUGAAAGGGAUACAUUUACUCUGACUCAAAAUGAUUUAAAUCAUGGAGGAAGGGAGAGGCAUAUUGUCGGGGACUGAUUCCUUCUGUCAUUUCCUCCAUAUGGUUUAUCAGUGCCAGAUAAAUCACUGUGACAGCCAAACAGAAGCCAGGAAGGCCCCCAGGGUAAAGCCCUUAUCUCAGCUCACUGGUCACCAUAGC